GUGCGUGAGUCUGAGGAGCGCCUUUGCUGGCUUUGCUGUCGGGUGGAAACCUCCAGCACAGGGGUAGUGGUGUCCUGGUGAGGAGAGUCAUCUGCAAAGAGAGCGUGGCUCAGCCCCGCUGGCAAAUCCUGUGGCCUCCAAAAGACGCAGCAGUAGCGCACUGUCUUCAUUUAGAGCAGCCCAGCUGAGGCACCGGGGAGGCUGCCCAGCAGCAGCUCGUCCACACUCCUGCUAUGAAAUACGUGUGUCCUCCCCAACUCACUGCCACUGGACCUGACCCUGGCUGCCAUGGGUGUCUGAAUAAUACAGGAGUUUGCAGAUAAGCAGGGCUUUGUAAAUAACAUAAGGCCACUGCUGGUGGUGCUAAUGUUCUCCCAGCAGAAGCAAAACUGUGUACCACAGGUCUGGUACGUCAAGCACUAUGUCUCUGUGAGACAUGAAAAUAUCAGGGGUUGUUUUAUACGUUUUAGCAAACAGGUUUAAACAUUAGCAAAAAUGCCUUGGUCUUACUUUCAUAUCAUCACUGGGACUGGUAAGAGCAGAUAUGUCAUUGGUGACACUCUUUUCUAGCCGAUACACCAGAUAUCAUGGCAUUGCUACAAAACUCAUUACCAGUCGUGUUUGAACCAAUGGCUUGGGGAACGAACAUAUCUGGAGGUUGGAAACACACAAUUAUGUCGAUAUCCAAAGAGAUCUUUCUCCUGUUGCAUGGUGUUAAGUGUCCAUGGUGUCUUCUCCACACAAGGGGCAGUAGUCCCCAUUGAGCGCAGACUCAUCUAUUUAAUCAGUCCCAAAACUGUUUAGGAAAAUGAACUCUGAUCCAGCUGGAAAGGCCGUUAGCACUGUUUACUCACAGCUACUUGCUCCCUUACCACUAAAUGGGGUUCUCUCCUUCUUUCCACUGUACACAAUGCAUUGAAUAAUUACGGUUCUAAUUUAGUGUCCUGUGAACGCCUGAGGGAUGAAAUCAAAUGUAUUUUUUAUUGUCUCAGAAAUAUGCACAGGUUGGUGGACAAUUUUUCAUAUAUAUGUGUUUUUUCUUUCUACUAUUGCUAUUUCCCAAGUUUUUUGUUGACAUUAUUUGCUGAUUGCAUUUUGGGGCCUGCCUUUAACACCAUUAUGUCACCAGGACAGGUGCUAGGACAAGCCCAGGAAAGAUCUUCCUGUAAGUGAUCUCACUGCUGUACAAGCACCCAGAUGAUAUCAUCUCAGCAGCACCGAUGCUGCAGUGUAAGACUAGAUCUAGACACUACUGAUGCUAUACGUAAACCUUUGACAUCUAUGCACAUGCUGCCAGCUCUUCAUCACCCAGGUACUGAGGGGUUAGGAUACUUCAGAAAAUGGAAGAAUCCAACGCCUGUGUCGUUGGUUGAUAACACUAGAGAUAGUACUGAUGCUUCCAAAUCUAACCUUCACUGCAGCGGGUCCAGCUCAGCUGUCUAGGCAACAUCUCCCCCAUUCCUCCUUUUUCCACAGUAGCAUAUUAGCUCUCAUAGCAGGGCAGGUGAAUGCAGCUGGCUCAGCUCUAGAACAAGGAUGAGGACCCUUGCACAGGCCUCCAGCAGAGCCCCCGAGCCCCGCAGUGGUCAGCAGUGCGAGGCGUGAACACUUUAGCUCAAUUCUAACAAAGUUUGUUCACUUGGCCCCAACACUGCAUAAAGCUGGCGAUUGACAUUCUAGAGAGAAGCUGGCUCUGGAUGCAGUCUAGUCUUGUGUAUAUUUAUCCCUACUCGUCCACUAAUGAACUUCACAAGAAUAGCAAAGAAAGAAUAGAGGGGUCUUGGAACAUAGGCCUUGGAAAACUGGGUAAUCUAGCAAAGGAGAAUUGAGAGUUGGCAGUAAAUGAAGAGCUUCAAGGUGCAGCAUUUUGAGGGGGGUUCACUGGGUGAUAGUGGAAGUCCAAAAUUUCAGGUGUGAUUUCACUGAAGACAAAAAUAUUGUUUGAAAGGAAAAGAAAAAAAGGGAAUGGAAUUAGAUAGGCUGACCUGUAAAAAAUACAAAGGGGAGGGUGUGAGAAGAGGGGCCUCUCUUCUCAUAUCAAUCUUAGAUCUUCUCUCUGCCUGCCAGAAGAUAUGAAAAGGUUAAAGUGCUGUUAUCAAGGAAGAACUAUUUUGUGCAUUUGCUACUCAUCCUGCUCCCCUGCUAUUAAAUAUCCUAUUUGAUUUGUUGUUGCUAA